AACCUCCGCAAUGUGAGAAAUCGCGACGGGGGGACCCCAAGUGCCACUUUAACGGGGUGGCUUUUAUGAAGUGCUUCAAGAUAAGGGCUGGCAAGACCGGUGCCAGCCGCCGCGGUAACACCGGCAGCUCAAGUGGUGGCCGUUUUUAUUGGGCCUAAAGCGUUCGUAGCCGGUUUGAUAAGUCUCUGGUGAAAUCCUAUAGCUUAACUGUGGGAAUGCUGGAGAUACUAUCAGGCUUGAGGUCGGGAGAGGUUAGCGGUACUCCCAGGGUAGGGGUGAAAUCCUGUAAUCCUGGGAGGACCACCUGUGGCGAAGGCGGCUAACUGGAACGACCUGACGAUGAGGGACGAAAGCCGGGGGCGCGAACCGGAUUAGAUACCCGGGUAGUCCUGGCCGUAAACG
rnacentral:rRNA from 1 species